rnacentral:rRNA from 1 species
GUAGUCUCGCACAGAUGCAUAUCAAUAAGCGGAGGAAAAGAAACUAACAAGGAUUCCCCUAGUAACGGCGAGUGAAGCGGGAAGAGCUCAAAUUUGAAAUCUUAAAGGGUUUCCCUUUACGAAUUGUAGUUUAAAGAAGUGUUUUCUGUUGAGGUUUUGGUAAAAGUUCUUUGGAAUAGGACAUCAUAGAGGGUGAGAAUCCCGUAUUUGACCUUUACUUUCAACUUUGUGAUACACUUUCAAAGAGUCGGAUUGUUUGGGAAUGCAGUCCAAAAUGGGUGGUAAAUUUCAUCUAAAGCUAAAUAUUGGCGAGAGACCGAUAGCGAACAAGUACCGUGAGGGAAAGAUGAAAAGAACUUUGAAAAGAGAGUUAAACAGUACGUGAAAUUGUCAAAAGGGAAGCGUUUGACACCAGUGUUGUUUUUCUGAAAAUCAAUUAAAGAACUGUUUAUGCUAAGCUGUUUAGACUUUAUCAGCUAUCUGUUUAGUUUUGAGCUUUUCUUUAAUGCACUUUUCAGUUAACAAGUCAACAUCAAUUUCUUUUGCUGUAAAAAAGCUUGAGGAAGGUGGCUUGAGAUUCGUCUUAAGUGUUUAUAGCCUCUUGCCUAUGCAGUCGGAGAGAUUGAGGUCUGCAGCGUAGAUCCUUCGGGGCUAAAUGCAUUUGUGCUAAGUUAUAGCAUUUUAUAGACAACUUGUUGACUAUGAUUUGUCUUGUAGCUUACUCGCUUAUGUUAUUUUACCUACGCUUAGGAUGUUGAACUACUGAGACAUAGA